CUCCCCUCCUAAAAAAUUGAAUCAAAUACACUUCAUUUAAAAUAUUAUAUAUCCACUCCCCUUCAAAAAUCCCCCAACCAAACAGAUUAGUGAUCAAUGGCACAAAACAUGUUGCUCAAGCUCUCUGUCUUUUGCUGUUAGAUCCCUCUAUUUCUUUGUUAAGGUUGAUAGAUUCAGUUGUUUCUCUACUUUUCAGUCCAAUAUAUAUCUGCAAACUUUGACAUCAUUAAUAUAAGCAAAUAAAAAAAUACCACAAGUAACAAGUUUUCUAGCUUUAUUUGUACAGAAUCAAAACAAUUUCAUACAACAUAUUUUGAACAUCUCUUUAUUUUUAUUUCUUGAUCAACUUCGUAUAAUAAAUAUUUCCAUAACAACAUACUUCAUAAAAAUUGUAUAAAAGAAAACAAAUAUUUUGAGCAGCAUCCAAUUGUACAUAACUAAGACGAAAAACUGUGAAAUCUAAAGAUCAAACACCAUUGACCUUGAGCAUAGGCUCAGACAAGAGAAUAAUAGGCGCAAAACAUAGAAGCUGGGCACAGGCGCGCGUUGAGCGCAAAAACAGAAAACUUGCAUUACUCACAAAACUAGUUACUUCUUACACUUGAUUGAUCCCAUAUAUAUACACAAUGAGGAUCAACAUCAACUAACUAAUAAAUGUAUAGGAAACCUAAUUAUUAUUUAACUUCUACCCAUCAACCUGGAUAUCCAUUAGACCAUCAGAUUUCACGUGUAUUCUCAUUUUCUAUUGAGAAUAAGAGAUUGGCUAGAGCAAGUGUAGUACAAUUUGUAAAAUCCUAACCCGACAAUAUUUCCAGGACAACCGUAACAAAUAUAUUCAUUCACUUCCCCUCAAAGUUUGUUUCUUAAUUGGCAAGGAAACUACAAGAAGAAAAAAAUGAUGCCAAAAAAUUGAAAUAUAAAAUCAAAAUAACAAUGUGUAACAAAAGAACCAUUUUACCUAGUUUCAAUCUUACGGUAGACCUUUCGCGACAAUUUCACGUAGAAGU
rnacentral:lncRNA from 1 species